GGGGGGGAUUUUCAGAUUCGUACCCCAGCCCCACCCUAACUUCGCCACUGCAUAAGGUCUAUUGAUUAUUAAAUAGCUCAAAAGUUAAGUGAAUAUCAUAAAGUGCUCAUUUUAUAAGUGGCAAAUUAAUCACCACUCAGUUUUUUUUUUUUUAAAACGGUGCAAAAAAACGAGAAGCCAUUGAUAAAAAUGUAUUCAGUCUUGCUUUGUUUUAGUUUUACCGCUGGCUACAAAAAUGAAACUAAAAGCGACGUCUUUACGGAAAUAUCCGAAAUCUAAAAAUGUAGGCUACAUGAAUCUGAAAACAAAAGCAAAAGAGUACGAGCAUAUGUUACAUUAAAUUUGAUGAGCCAACAUUUUAUGUAGGGCAGCAAAUCAAGUUAUUGUUACGAAUUAGUUCCACGUAUUCAGUGAUAGUAAUACUAAAAAUAAUAAUGAUAAAAUUAUUUUUAAAUUAGGAAAAAAAAAGGGGUAGAAGAUAGAUAGAAUAACAAAUGAGGCACUUGAAUGUCAACCAGUAGGCCUACACCGUCCCUUAACCUCCCACUGUUGCUUUACUUUCGAUCCUUGUAUUUAGGGUUUCCAGAUGUCCGGCAAAAGAAGCACACAUGUCCUCCAUUUUGAGGUCGUGUCCUCCGUCCGACAGGCGAAAAUGCCUGGCUUUUUCUCUGUCAUUACAUUUUAUCGAAGCCUCAGUUUCGUAUCUUGUGGUUUAAACUCACAUAAAUAAGAGAGAAACGUGAUUUGUUUAAUUUUUUUUUUUUCAUGAAGAAGUCAUAGGUGUUUCUUUAUGCAAGGAUCAGGGCCGGUCUUAUGUACUUGGAGGUCCUAGACUAGAUGAAUUGGGUGGCCUCAAAUAAAAUAGAAAAAUGAAAAAUUAAGACCGAAAAAUACGCAAUGAAUAAAAAGAAACCUUCAUGUAUCUAUAUUUAAAUCAACAAAUAAGUUAAAUUCAUAUAUUUUAAUUACCUUCUUUUAGUAAGAUUCUUAAACAUAUUUGUACAGAUGUCACGUAUAGGCCUUCCAAUUUUUCAGCUCAAUCCAAACACCGAUAGCACGACUGUGCUUCUUGGACGAUUCAUGAUCACUGAACUAGAAAUAACGUUUCGACAUUUCACCAAAAGGAAUUAACAAUGGUCUUCUACCUAUAAUAUUUGUAGUCUAACACGUAGAUCUUAACAUUCCUAAAUCAACUUUGAAUCAUAGUAUAGACUUAAGAGAUUGGCUGGAUAAGAUAGAGCCAUAGAGUUCUGCUAUGUUUUAGAUUUGAUCUAUGUUUCGCAAUUUUUUCUCUAAAAAAAUUUUUUUUGAGCCCUCUAUAUAUAUGAGACCCCACCAAUCGGAGGCCCUUUGCAUGUACCUGGUUUGCCUAUGCCUAAGGCCGGCCUUGCAAGAAUCAUAGAUAAUAAAAUGUUAGACAAAAACGAAUAUUCACAUUUGACUAGAGUAACACCUUUAGUAAAAUCCCUAAAUUUAGAAACUCUUCAGGAUGGAAGACUUAAUAAGUAAAGUAGCAAUUAUACAUAAAAUAGAUUGCCUUAGUCAGCCUGCAAAACCAAUGACUUGGCAGAAUUUAAGCCAUUGAUUAACUAGAUUGACCUAGGAACACAUAUUCUUAUUUGAAGCAACGUCUGUAUUAAAUAAGCAUAAUAGCCUACUAAUGUUGAAAGAGGGUUUGCGCCAAUCAACACACAAAAGACAUAAAACAAAAAAGCGCUUGUCUCUCCACGGAUUCAGACAUUUGUCACACAAAGUGGGCAUAUAACGCAGUAUAAAUGUGCAUUGAAUCAUUUAGGUCUACACCUAACUAUGAACCAUUCCUUAAAGUGAUCUCUUUUGUUUGUUUUACAAGUUUUGGAUGUUUCUUGAAGAUAAUUAGAGGCCUACAGGUUAACACGAACGGUGGGGGACAACGGUGGGCAGGGGCAGGGUUCGAACCAAGGGCCAUCGAUACCGCCGAACGGCAAUCCAGAGAGCAUACAACACAACCAGGCUGAGAAAAAUGUGACUUAACAUAGCUAAUGUACAACCUUUGAUUUACUACUAUGUUUGAUCAAAUACAGUAUAAGCCUUUUUUUUUUUUUAAGUUUGUCUUUUUUAUAUGUCCUCUUUCUUGUAGCCUACUCAUCAGUCAGAUAAUUAAAAAAAAAAUGAAAGAUAUUUUUAGAUCUAUAGGUGGAAAUAGACCUACAGUGGCGUAAAUACGGUAGGGGAGGGAGGUCCAAAUUUGAAAAUCCCCCAAGUUUAGGGAGGCCCAAAAAUGAGUGUCCGAAAUUUGUUUUUACAUUAAAUAUUAUACGCUAUUAUCUUGUGUUAUGAUGUCGAAUGUCAAAAUGCAGGGGCGCCAAAAGAGGUCACCCCCCCCCCCCCCCGGGCCCACAAAUCCUUAGCUACGCCACUGGACCUAUAUACACUUCUUGAACUCCAUCACGGAGAUCUAACGUCCCUUAUAUGUAAGAAUUUAGCCUUGAACGUCGCGAUUAGUUGUUGUUGUUUUUUUUUUUUUUAUUGCAUUACAAUUAUUUGUUUCAUUUGUUUGAGUGAUCUGAAAGAGGGCGGGUCAUCUUGUUGACAUUUAAAUUUAUUAUUGACAUUGUUUUUUUAAUUAUUAUUAUUAUUAUUACGUUUAGAGAAGGGAAUAGGCCCAAUCUGGGGCAAAUCUUUGACUUCUCAAAGUAAAACACAUUUAAGUUGACUACUAGAAGUAGAAGGCAAAGCGUAUUGUUUAACGGAAUAAUAUCGGGACUUUCCGCAGAGCAUUACGUUAUCAGAGCAUAUCUGAGUUACUCUAAAAUACUCUAAAUAUCGGUAGUCAACAUAAAAUACACGAUAAAUAAAAAUGCAUAUAUUUAUUUUUGACGACGUUGAGCACAGACGUCGCAAGCGUAAACUUAAAGCUAGAAAAAGACGGCUCAACAGACCGUGGAUUCAUUUACCGCAACGCAUGUAUGUCGUCUACGAAUGGUACAGGAGGUGUCGUAGAUAUAUCACCAUGAAUGUUGUCAGACAGUCAGAGCGCCAGAGACAAGAGGGGCGAUUUCACGAAUUGUUCCAAAGAGUUGAGGGCCUCUUGAAAAUACUCUUUACGAUCGGGAUCUACCUCAUGCUCGGAGCCGCCUUGUGGUUUUGGCUUUCUGACAUUCUACCAUCAGCCAACACAAUUAUAUUAACUAAAAAUCUGAUACUAGAUUUCUUUCUUUUAUUCUUUUGGGGUGGGGGGUUUUAAGUGGUUAAUGUAACAGUAAAAAAAAAAAAAAGUGGACUAAUCAUUAACAACAUGCACAACCAUUGUAGACAAUAAUGAACAAUAAUGUAAAUUGAAAACUAUGUCUUUUAUUGAUGUAUAGCUAAUGUGUUGCUCAUUGAUUAAAGACUUAGGCUCGAAUGUCGUGUAAAGCUGCGUUUAUUAUAACAGGAAAUGUGUCUCGUGUCAACUUGUGUCUCAAGUUUUUAGUUGGUACGUCACAUUUCUUGGGGGAGGGGGGGAUAAAGGCGGUUCGCGGUUUACUGGUCACCUGGCAACCUUAUAAGCAGUGGCGUAGCUAGGGUAGGGAGAGGAGGUCCUAAUUCGAAAGUCCCCCUGGGCCCCCACUUGAGGAAAACAUUCAAAUGAAUUUCCUAAUUUUUUUUACAUUAAAUAUUACGCCACUGCCAUGUAAUCUUGCUGUUCAAGUGGAGUCAAAAUACUAGACAGCAUUAUAUUCUAGAUGAUGUUAUAGAUGACCUUUGCUGCACAGAAAGCACGACGUGAGGCAAUUUGAAUUGAGAUUUGUCACUUGUGCAUUAUCUCGCCCAUAAAAAAAAAACAAAAACGGUAGGCCUAUUAGUCAUUAAAAGAGUCUUAAUGAUUUUUUUUUAAAAUUUUACUUACAUACUGUACCAAUUGGAAUUUAGACAUAUAUUUGUUAAUAAGUUCAUUAUCUCAUAUGACGUCGAAUGUCAAAAUGCAGGGGCCCCUAAAAUGGCCAAGCGCCCCGCGCCCCCAAAUCCCUAGCUACAUAUCACUGCUUAUAAGCAUAUGUAACAAAGAAAUAGUUGAUCAUUGCUUAAAUUGUGUUGGUAAAAGUGGGCAACGUGGCGAUAGAUUGACCACCCAUACACGAGUUCAAAGAUUUUCUUUGGCCGAAGCUUAAACUAUAAUAGGCUCAGUCUUUAAUAGUUCAUCGUGUUUACUUUCUUUUAUACUGAUUAUAAUAGUUUAUUGUGUUUAAACUUAUACUGAGUAUAAUAGUUUAUUGUGUUUAAACUUAUACUGAGUAUAAUAGUUCAUUGUGUUUAAACUUAUACUGAUUAUAAUAGUUCAUUGUGUUUAAACUUAUACUGAUUAUAAUAGUUCAUUGUGUUUAAACUUAUACUGAUUAUAAUAGUUCAUUGCGUUAACUUAUACUGAUUAUAAUAGUUCAUUGUGUUUAACGUAUGCUGAUUAUAAUAGGUUAUUGUGUUUAACUUAUACUGAUUAUAAUAGUUCAUUGUGUUUAUAUUAUUUUAUACCGAUUGUUUAAUUAAACACGUUUGUUUUGUUUUUUUCUGAUAUUAUUACCAAUUACAUUUUUUUGCAAAAGUUUUGUAGUAAGCUAGUCUUCUUUAAGUUUUAAAGUGUGGUAGAUUUUUCGCUAAUUUGGGACCAGGUUUACAUUCAAAAGACAUCGUUUUAGUUUUUAACCAUUAUAAUGUACAAGGGGAGAGAAAAAAAAGAGAAGAGAAGGCGAUGUUUAAAAGUGUGGGGGUGGUGUUAUGGACUCUAAAGAGAAAUGUGAGAGAUUGAAAAAAAAAUGUUUGGGUGGGAGCGAUUUUGAAAUAAAUAGAAAAAAAAACAAUGUCAAAGGACGCUAAAUCGAACGAUUACUAUUGCCAAACAGUUAAUUGCACUGUAACAUGAGCGAAAGCGCUUAGAAUUUUUAUUCUACAUUGUUAAAAGUGGAACAGAAUUAUGAUAUGCUUUUAAAAUUGAAUAGCUAUAACCGUACUUCCGAAUUUUUUACACCGAAUAUGUCUUACUAGCUAUUUAUAGGCUUGCCUACAUUUAUCAUUUUUAAAGCUAAUUAUAAUAAUAAUAUAUUAUUAUUAUAGUGUUUGCAAUCAUCAAUAUUUUCUUUCUGAACACAUUUUCUAAUCACAAUUUAUCAGCAUUUAAAUUGACUUCCCAAUUUUUCUUCCUAACUGUUCUUCCAAA